AAAAAAUUAGAGAUCAAGAGAUUAUCUUUUCAAAGUUCUUAUAAGCGAGUUCGGAAAUGGUGGAAGCCGAAUGGAUAUGAAAAGGGAAACGCACUUGUGAAAUUUUGCUUAGCAAACGGAGUCUGCCGUUACCAGAUAGAGUUGGUUUGAAAACAAACAAUAAGAGUGGUACCGCGGGAAAUCUCGUCUCUAGC
rfam:Tetragenococcus halophilus NBRC 12172 DNA, complete genome.